ACCUGUUGCUUCGGCGGCGCCCGCAAGGGUGCCCGCCGGUCUCAUCAGAAUCUCUGUUUUCGAACCCGACGAUACUUCUGAGUGUUCUUAGCGAACUGUCAAAACUUUUAACAACGGAUCUCUUGGCUCCAGCAUCGAUGAAGAACGCAGCGAAACGCGAUAUGUAAUGUGAAUUGCAGAAUUCAGUGAAUCAUCGAAUCUUUGAACGCACAUGGCGCCUUCCAGUAUCCUGGGAGGCAUGCCUGUCCGAGCGUCGUUU
rnacentral:rRNA from 1 species